GAGGGGCGCCAACUAACUAUCUAAGUUGUAUUCCAUGGGGUGCCCCUUGUACCUACUUAAAGAAGUUGAUAAUAUGCCAAUUAUACCUGAUUUUAUUGAGAAAAAAUCAGAUUAAAAAGGUAAAGUAUUCUUAUGAGAUAAAGAUGUACCAUUUUAAGAUAAUUGGAUUCCUCUUAUGAGUCAAGGUAGAGCUUAUAUAAAGAGAAGGUCUCUAGCAUUUUGAAGAAGAAGAAUUUUGUGAAACAAAAAAUCUCUCUCUCUCUUCUCUGCUUCUCCCCUCCUCCCUCUCUUCUCUUCCAUGCCCAAGGGUUGGGCAUCCCACUUUCCACACGCCAA
rnacentral:lncRNA from 1 species